GACGAACGCUGGCGGCGUGCUUAACACAUGCAAGUCGAACGGAAAGGCCCUGCUUUUGUGGGGUGCUCGAGUGGCGAACGGGUGAGUAACACGUGAGUAACCUGCCCUUGACUUUGGGAUAACUUCAGGAAACUGGGGCUAAUACCGGAUAGGAGCUCCUGCUGCAUGGUGGGGGUUGGAAAGUUUCGGCGGUUGGGGAUGGACUCGCGGCUUAUCAGCUUGUUGGUGGGGUAGUGGCUUACCAAGGCUUUGACGGGUAGCCGGCCUGAGAGGGUGACCGGCCACAUUGGGACUGAGAUGCGGCCCAGACUCCUACGUGAGGCAGCAGUGGGGAAUAUUGCACAAUGGGCGGAAGCCUGAUGCAGCAACGCCGCGUGCGGGAUGACGGCCUUCGGGUUGUAAACCGCUUUCGCCUGUGACGAAGCGUGAGUGACGGUAAUGGGUAAAGAAGCACCGGCUAACUACGUG
rnacentral:rRNA from 1 species